rnacentral:rRNA from 1 species
AUUGAACGCUGGCGGCAGGCCUAACACAUGCAAGUCGAACGAGGGGCGGACGGGUGAGUCAUGUCUGGGAAAAUGCCUGAUGGAUGGGGAUAACUACUGGAAACGGUAGCUAAUCACGCAUACCAUUGGAUGCUCCACGAUGGGAUUCGCUAGUAGGUGGGGUAAAGGCUCACCUAGGCCACGAUCCCUAGCUGGUCUGAGAGGGGGACCAGCCACACUGGAACUGAGACACGGUCCAGACUCCUACGGGAGGCAGCAGUGGGGAAGAUUGCACAAUGGGCGCAAGCCUGAUGCAGCCAUGCCGCGUGGGUGAAGAAGGCCUUCGGGUUGUAAAGGACUUUCAGCGGGGAGGCGUUACCCGCAGAAGAAGCACCGGCUAACUCCGUGCCAGCAGCCGCGGUAAUUC